GGUGGUGAGUCCAUCAGACUGCUUAAGUACCAAGCAUACCGCCAUUGCCACACCUUAACGUCAUGGAUAUUUCUAGGAAACUGAUUUGAUUAAGUCAUUUUUAGGAAAAGUGAUUAAUUUUGGAAAAUGCUUUCAUUGCAGAAGCUUUGCUUGUUGUUGUGUUAUUUUGAAAUCAAUUAUUGUUUUUGAAAACGCGCCCU
rnacentral:lncRNA from 1 species